CUCUACUUUUCCACCACUUCCCACCGUUGAAAUUUCAAAUAGGUAGUGUGCUUUUGUUCACGGAGUUGAGAGAUUUCCCUUCAUCCGAUUAGAUUUUUGUUUUGGACGGAUCUUGUUGAACUUGCAUCUGUGCAAGAGUACUGUUUUGGGUUUCCUCUAAAGAGUGUUGUGCUUGUAACCACUAAGAGAGGAUUGAUCCAUGUGGUGAGGAGUAGCAGGAGGUCCUGGUCUUGGAGGCUUCCAGUAUGCUCCAGGGCGCGGAACGAAUUAACCUCGUGAGUGUGGUAGGGUGGAACCCAUUGGCAACGGCUUUGCAAAGCAGUAGAGGCCACCACGAGUGCAUAACCCGCCAUAGCUCGGUAAUCAUUCUGGUCCGGACGAGUCGGUCUAUAAAGCAAUGGGUCUUGUGAUGUCAAUAUGGUGAGGAGGUUCCUUUGGAGACAACUCUGGAAGUUGAAGACAAUGUUGCUGCCUAGUCUCCUAGGAUGCUAUUAGUUGAUCUUAUACUCUAGAAUACUAUUUCCCAUUUCAGCUUAUAUUUUAUAUCUUUUUGAAGUUUAAGCAUAUAUUCUGAAGUUAUUUUGAG
rnacentral:sRNA from 1 species